CACACUCCCGGAAGAGUCCCAGCGGCCCUGAAGGUGCUAGAAGCUUUGAAGGCCACGGGGCCUUAGCGGAGUGGCUGCAUGUGCUUCUCCCAGCCCCGGGGGCCCGACGACCCCCUCAUGUCCCGUGGAAGUCAUCGCAGAACCAAUCCUGAGAACCACAAAGAGCCCUUGGGGCUGAAAACUUCUUUUGAUCGAGUGAAUUACUGCUGCCUUGAAUUUGCUUUCUUUGCAAUAAAUGAAGGAAUGGAUUAGAUAUCCCAUCUUUUAAGUAGCCAUCAAAAAUCCUGACUUAACUCUUGAACCCCACAAAUAGAGGAUGGAAGACUGGUGGUCUGAGUUUGGCUUAGCCAUUGUGACAAUAGUAGAGGCAUUGAAACUUGAUCCAGUCCUCCAAUUUUUGAGCUACAUAUUAGGGAAAUGAAAGGUCAUUUCAGGUUUCAGCAUGCAGAAAAAAAAUUCAAAGAUUCCACUGAGGAAAACUCACUGUUCCAAGAAAUUACCUGCUACACAACUCGAACAAAUUACCAUUCAGCAUUUGUCUUUAGCAAUAAAGAUUACGGACUAAAUUGGCCCCCUCUGUGUAUUAGAUGGAACCUCAUCUCGCGGUCCUAUUUCUCCUGAAAUUAGUGUCAUUGUCUCGCUUUUGUUUCACUUAGUGUCAUUAUUUCAACGUUAAGUUGGAGAAGAAUGUUCUAGGCUCUAGUGCUUUUAUUUCAAAGCAUUUUCCACUUGAUCCUAAAGUCGACUCAACUUAUUUUACCACUAAGACAGCUGAGGACCAGGAAAGGACAAUGGUUUGUUCAAGUUCACGUUAUUAGUGAAAGUUUGCAAUCGGAAGCGAGGCCUCCUGUAUACAUCUGCUAUGUCUUGCUGCCGUCAAAAUGUUAGCUGUAAAUAAAAUUUGGCAAGAUGACAACUUGACACUUGAAAAUGUUAAUGAUUCUUUACCUUUAAGGAGCUUACUCACUUAAGACAAAAUAUUCUGCUCUGUUACCACAGCGCUACAGAAGCGUAACUGGAGUCUGGGGGGAUCAAAGUAUUGACGUUUUUAAC